CCUCCAAUCUUCUCCUAACAGCUGUAAAAAUCAUGCCCAGGAAUCUCUGUUCUCAGUUUCAACAAUAGCAUAUGCAAUGGGGUACAUGCAAUCAUUUGCAUCCAUCCCCACAGCAGAUAAUAACUGAUCCCCAUAUCUACCCUUGAGGAAAUAACCAUCAAUACCAAUCAGGGAUCUGCAACCAGCAAUAAAGCCUUUUUUACAAGU
rnacentral:lncRNA from 1 species